UACGUAGGGUGCAAGCGUUGUCCGGAAUUAUUGGGCGUAAAGCGCACGCAGGCGGUCUGCUAAGUUUGGAGUGACAGUUGGUGGCUUAACUGCCAAAGUGCUUCGAAAACUGACAGACUUGAGGGCUUCAGAGGGACACGGAAUUCCGGGUGGAGUGGUGAAAUGCGUAGAGAUCCGGAGGAACACCAAAGGCGAAGGCGAGUCCCUGGACACUUCCUGACACUGAGGCACGAAAGCUAGGGGAGCAAACAGG
rnacentral:rRNA from 1 species